GAUGAACGCUGGCGGCGUGCUUAACACAUGCAAGUCGAACGGACGGAUUGGAGCUUGCUCCAUGAAGUUAGUGGCGGACGGGUGAGUAACGCGUGGGUAACCUGCCCUAUGCAGGGGGAUAACAACAAGAAAUUGUUGCUAAUACCGCAUAAUAUAGAAGCUUCGCAUGAAGCAACUAUCAAAGAUUUAUCGGCAUAGGAUGGACCCGCGUUAGAUUAGCUAGUUGGUGAGAUAAAAGCUCACCAAGGCGACGAUCUAUAGCCGGCCUGAGAGGGUGAACGGCCACACUGGGACUGAGACACGGCCCAGACUCCUACGGGAGGCAGCAGUGGGGAAUAUUGCACAAUGGGCGCAAGCCUGAUGCAGCGACGCCGCGUGAAGGAUGAAGGUUUUCGGAUCGUAAACUUCUAUCAGCAGGGAGGAACCAAAUGACGGUACCUGACUAAGAAGCCCCGGCUAACUACGUGCCAGCCGCCGCCGUAACAC
rnacentral:rRNA from 1 species